rnacentral:rRNA from 1 species
GAUGAACGCUGGCGGCGUGCUUGAUGCAUGCAAGUCGAACGCAUCAGUAAUUAGUGGAAAGCCUCUUGAGGCGGGGAAGGGGAGAAAUCUCUGGAGCCGUGGAUGGGGGUCGGAAGCUUGACGCUGGUGAGUGGCGGAUGGGUGAGUAACACGUCGGUGACCUGCCCCAAAGUGGGGAAUAACCGCCCGAAAGGGCAGCUAAUUCCGCAUGUGGUCUAUCGUUCACUCGAUAGAUUAAAGGCGCAAGCCGCUUUGGGAGGGGCUCGCGGCCGAUUAGCUAGUUGGUAGGGUAAUGGCUUACCAAGGCGAUGAUCGGUAGCUGGUCUGAGAGGAUGAUCAGCCACACUGGCACUGACACACGGGCCAGACUCCUACGGGAGGCAGCAGCAAGGAAUAUUGCACAAUGGGCGAAAGCCUGAUGCAGCAACGCCGCGUGGGCGAUGAAGGCCUUCGGGUUGUAAAGCCUUUUCUGCGGGAAG